UAGAUAGGCCUUAACUCCACCUCUAGGCUAGGCCUGGUAAUCUAUUUACAUAUGUAUAUAGAUUACCAGGCCUAGCCUAGAGGUGGAGUUAAGGCCUAUCUA